GGGGAGGGUGAUACUUGGACUACUCUGAGCAGUGGCCUGUCCAUCACUAACCCUCCCCAGAGCAUCCCUGCUUCACUUUGACUGGGGUGACGUGAGGGAAAUCACCACAGACAGAUACGGAGCAGACACCU